rnacentral:snRNA from 1 species
AGAUGUGAUGGAGAUCUGGCUGCGACAUCUGUCACCCCACUGAUCACCAGGGUUGAUUUGACUUAUGUGACUGGCUAGGCGAGCAUCCUUUUCUUCCCUACCACUUCCCACGCCCCCCUCCUGAAGCUGCAUGUUUGGUGAAAGAGGAUUCCAUUCCCUGAUAGAGGAAGACUAUUAUUCCUGUCAAGAGUAGCUGUGCUCCCCUGCAAGAACCUGCAAACAGUUCAAAAAAACGAAAACCAGUAAAGGUCUCUAAUGUAAAAGACUCCAAGUUAAGUCAUUUAUUUCUU